CCGCUACAUUUUCCUCUUUCACAACUCCUUCUCACUGUAUAUUCUAAACCUUCUCACUGUAUAUUCUAAAUUAUCAACUGUCUGUGAUUUGAUGGCUCAAUUACUGAGUCCUGUUUGUACAGAUUUACUCAAAUUCCAAAACCCUAAUAAUCAAUUCUUCAGUUCAAUUAAACCAUGGCGAAUGUUAACAAAGAUCAAUAGCAACCAUUUGAUAACAACAUUUAGUGGUUCAAAACGGCGUGACUCUAGAAUUAGAGCUGUUGCUGAAGAAUCCUUUUCUAGUGAUGCAAUUGCAGAUGAUUAUUACGCCGUUUUAGGACUGCUACCAGAUGCAACACCAGAGCAAAUAAAGAAAGCUUAUUAUACUUGCAUGAAAGCUUGCCAUCCAGAUUUGAGUGGAAAUGAUCCAGAGACGACUAAUUUCUGCAUGUUUAUCAACGAAGUCUACACGGUACUUAGUGAUCCUGUGCAGCGAAUGGUUUAUGAUGAAAUCCAUGGAUAUGCAUUGUCAGCAGUAAAUCCUUUCUUGGAUGACACUAGUGUUAAGGAUCAUGCUUUUGUGGAUGAGUUUAGUUGCAUAGGUUGUAAAAAUUGCGCCAAUGUCGCCCCCGAUGUAUUUAAUAUAGAAGAAGAAUUUGGAAGAGCUAGAGUCUGCAACCAAUCUGGCAAUAUUGAUUUGGUUAACCAAGCUAUUGAAAGUUGCCCUGUUGACUGUAUUCAUUGGACUUCUGCUGCACAAGUAUCUUUACUCGAAGAUGAAAUGCGCCGGGUUGAAAGAGUAACUGUUGCACUGAUGCUUGCUGGAAUGGGAACUUCCUCCGAUGUUUUCAGAAUGGCAAACAACCGUUGGGAAAAGCGCCAAUCCAAAGUCUUGGAAAAGGCUAGAAUAAGGAUGAUGCAGCAAAAAGAUGCAAAUAAAUCUGAAACAUACUGGAAUGACCUUUGGGGAAAGCCUGCAACCUAUGAAACUUCAGGUAUGCAGCAAUACCAAAAUCAAACAAAACAGCGGCGAUGCAUGUCAUUUGCCACGUAGUUCUUUCUUACUGAAGAAAUAUGGUGCUCGAGCCCAUUUUAGUUCGCGCUGGUCUGCUUCCGAAGAAGUCCAGGAGAGAGCAAAGCGAGCUGCUGCAGCAGCUAGAAGAUGGAGGGAGUAUUCAAGGAAGGGCGCUGAUAGGCCUCCAACAUAUAAAUUGCCAGAAUCAAUCAACAAGGAAUAAAACCCAGUAACAAUUCCAACACCCUUUAUAGUUUAGUAAAAUGUGAUACAAUUAUAUCAUCAUAGUUUAUCUGUACAAAAAUCUAGUAGUAAAUCAUGUAUCUCAUUGUAAUAUAUGUAGGAUUCAUAUCUUUUCUUGUUUACUGUUGGAAAAAAAUGGGUUUCACAAAGGAUGAAUGACACAGAGAAGAAAGUGUU